GAAAUACUCCCUCCGUCCGGAAAUACUUGUCAUUGAAAUGGAUGUAUCUAGAUGUAUUUUAGUUCUAGAUACGUUCAUUUUCAUCCAUUUUGAUGACAAGUAAUUCCGGACGGAGGGAGUAGUUU
rfam:Triticum aestivum genome assembly, contig: Triticum_aestivum_CS42_TGACv1_scaffold_456543_5DS